UACGUAGGUGGCGAGCGUUAUCCGGAUUUACUGGGUGUAAAGGGCGUGUAGGCGGUUUCUCAAGUCGGAUGUGAAAUUCCCAGGCUUAACCUGGGCGCUGCAACCGAAACUGAGAAACUUGAGUACUGGAGAGGAUAGUGGAAUUCCUAGUGUAGCGGUAAAAUGCGUAGAUAUUAGGAGGAACACCGGUGGCGAAGGCGACUAUCUGGACAGUAACUGACGCUGAGGCGCGAAAGCGUGGGGAGCAAAC
rnacentral:rRNA from 1 species